CAAUAGCGUAUAUUAAAGUUGUUGCAGUUAAAAAGCUCGUAGUUGGAUUUCGGGGUGGCCUGGCUGGUCCGCCGCAAGGUGAGUACUGGUCAGCCGCCCUUCCUCUCGAAAGCCCCGACUGCUCUUUACUGCAGUGGUCGGGUAGUUCGGGACGUUUACUUUGAAAAAAUUAGAGUGUUCAAGGCAGGCUAUCGCCUGAAUACAUUAGCAUGGAAUAAUGGAAGAGGACCUCGGUCCUAUUUUGUUGGUUUCUAGGGCCGAAGUAAUGAUUAAGAGGGACAGUUGGGGGCAUUCGUAUUUAAUUGUCAGAGGUGAAAUUCUUGGAUUUAUGAAAGACGAACUAGUGCGAAAACAUUUGCCAAGGAUGUUUUCAUUAA
rnacentral:rRNA from 1 species